rnacentral:rRNA from 1 species
UACGUAGGGUGCGAGCGUUGUCCGGAAUUAUUGGGCGUAAAGGGCUCGUAGGCGGUUUGUCACGUCGGGAGUGAAAACUCAGGGCUUAACCCUGAGCCUGCUUCCGAUACGGGCAGACUAGAGGUAUGCAGGGGAGAACGGAAUUCUUGGUGUAGCGGUGAAAUGCGUAGAGAUCGGCAGGAACACCCAGGGGGAAACCAGCCGACUGGGCAUCUACUGACGCUGAGGUGCGAGAGCGUGGGGAGCGAACAGG